rnacentral:misc_RNA from 1 species
ACUCUUCAACCCUCCAAUUUCUUGUGAAUUGAUAGGUGUUUGGAUUUUGAGUGUUGCUGGUCUUUUAGAUCGAGCUCAUUCGUAAUAUAUUAGCAUCUCUAAUUCGAACUCGGAUUGACUCAGUGUAAUAGACUAUUCGCUGAGGACACGCUCUUGUAGUGUGGCCGAAUGAGAUCUCAGUAGAAGCUUCCAACUACUUUAGUCAACUUUAG